rnacentral:rRNA from 1 species
GACGAACGCUGGCGGCGUGCUUAACACAUGCAAGUCGAACGGAAAGGCCCUGCUUUUGUGGGGUGCUCGAGUGGCGAACGGGUGAGUAACACGUGAGUAACCUGCCCUUGACUUUGGGAUAACUUCAGGAAACUGGGGCUAAUACCGGAUAGGAGCUCCUGCUGCAUGGUGGGGGGUGGAAAGUUUCGGCGGUUGGGGAUGGACUCGCGGCUUAUCAGCUUGUUGGUGGGGUAGUGGCUUACCAAGGCUUUGACGGGUAGCCGGCCUGGGAGGGUGACCGGCCACAUUGGGACUAAGAUACGGCCCAGACUCCUACGGGAGGCAGCAGUGGGGAAUAUUGCACAAUGGGCGGAAGCCUGAUGCAGCAACGCCGCGUGCGGGAUGACGGCCUUCGGGUUGUAAACCGCUUUCGCCUGUGACGAAGCGUGAGUGACGGUAAUGGGUAAAGAAGCACCGGCUAACUACGUG